AAGCGGUGGAGCAUGUGGUUUAAUUCGAUGAUACGCGAGGAACCUUACCUGGGCUCAAAUGUAUGUUGACGUAUUCUGAAAGGGAUACUUCUUUCGGACAAUAUACAAGGUGCUGCAUGGUUGUCGUCAGCUCGUGCCGUGAGGUGUCGGGUUAAGUCCCAUAACGAGCGCAACCCCUGCAUUCAGUUGCCAUCGGGUAAUGCCGGGCACUCUGGAAGGACUGCCAUCGACAAGAUGGAGGAAGGUGGGGAUGACGUCAAGUCAUCAUGGCCCUUAUGUCCAGGGCGACACACGUGCUACAAUGGCCGGCACAACGGGAAGCGAGUUCGCGAGGACGAGCGGAUCCCUCAAAGCCGGUCGCAGUUCGGAUUGAAGUCUGCAACUCGACUUCAUGAAGCUGGAAUCGCUAGUAAUCGUGGAUCAGCCAAGCCGCGGUGAAUACGUUCCCGGGCCUU
rnacentral:rRNA from 1 species